rnacentral:tRNA from 2 species
CGGAGUGUGGCGCAGUCUGGUAGCGCACCUCGUUCGGGACGAGGGGGUCGCAGGUUCGAAUCCUGCCACUCCGACCA